rnacentral:miRNA from 1 species
UAGCAUGUGUAGUACAUAAUG